CUUUAGUUGUAUUUUAUUUGUUUAUUUCUUGCAUUUUUGCUUAAUUUAUUUUGCUGGCAGCUGGUUACUGAAAUUUGCUUUUAAGUCUUUAUAAUUGAUUUCUAUAAUUAGGAGAAUUUUGAUGAAAUUGGAACUGUGUUGCAACAACCCAAUAAAUGUCGUCAACCACUUCCAAAACGGACCUGGCAUGGAAUUAUUUUGAAGCUGAUCCUAAUGAUAGAAAUACCAUCACAUGUAAAUUUUGUCGUAAAGUAACAAAAGGUGGUAUAUUUCGGGUGAAACAACAUCUUGUGGGCGGUUUUAGGAAUACUAAAGCUUGUCCAAAAUGUCCUCCAUCAGUAAAAGAAGAGAUUGGAGAGUACAUGCAAAAGAAGAAAAAUAAUAGGGAUGAGUGAAAUAUAGCAUCGUUAGAUGAUGAUAUUCAAUUUGGUGAAGGGUAUGAUGAUGAUGAUGAUGAGCCGCUGCCUCAAAGUAGAAAAAGACCCAAUGUAUCUACCGGAAGUGGAAGCGGUACUGGUAGUAUUGGUAGUGUUAAAGGGCCAACACAAAAAGGUCCACUUGAUGUUUUUCUUAAAGACCCAGAAGUUAAUGUGUUGAAAAGCAAGGGCAAAGGAAAGCAAACAAGGUUGGGUGAGCAUGAUUUUGCAAAAAAAGAGUUAAGAGCUCGAGUUUGUAGAAGCUUUGCACGAUGGAUGUAUGAUGCAGGCAUUCCAUUCAAUGCAGUGACAUAUGACAGUUUUAAAGUAUUUAUAGAAGCAGUUGGUCAGUAUGGUCCGGGUGUGAAGCCGCCUAGUUACCAUGAAGUCAGGGUUCCCCUUCUCAAACAAGAGGUGGAAGUCACUCGUGAAAUGAUGAAAGAUCAUGAAGAGGCGUGGGCCAAAUAUGGAUGUUCCAUUUUGUCAGAUGGCUGGAAAGACAAGAGGGAAAGGACAUUGAUUAACUUUUUAGUCAAUUCUCCUAAAGGAAGUAUGUUCUUGGAGUCUGUUGAUGGUUCUAGCUAUUCAAAGACUGGGGAAAAGAUGUUUCAAUUAUUAAGUAAAUGUGUGGAAAAGAUUGGAGUAAGAAAUGUGGUGCAAGUGGUCACCGAUAGUGCUUCAAACAAUGUUUUAGCAGGUAUGAAAUUCAUUUUUGUAAUUUGUAUUAUGUUUAUAAAUAGAACAAUUUGAAUAUUCAUUAGAUAUUUAUUAUUUACUAAUAUCUUGUUAAUUUCACUCUAAAUAAUAACAUGAAGAUUUUUGGAGGCAAAAUAUCCUACGUUGUUUUGGACACCAUGUGCAGCGCACUGUUUGGAUUUAAUGUUGGAAGAUAUUUUCAAGUUACCUAAUAUGAAGAAGACAUUUGAGAGAGCUGUUAUGGUGAUUAGCUAUAUCUAUACUCGUUCGGGUCUAGUAAACAUGCUUAGAAGGUUUACUGACAAGAAAGAGUUGUUGUGGCCUGCAAAAACACGGUUUGCAACUGCCUUUAUCACUUUGGGCAGGAUGCAUAGUCUGAAAAUCAACCUUAGAAGGAUGUUUACCUCCGAGGAGUGGAUGACAAGCAAGUGGGUAAAAGAAGCGGGGGCUAAAAAGGUUGUAGAAGUGAUUUUGAUGCCUUCAUUUUGGAACAAUGUUGUAUUUGCUUUAAAGGUGGCUGGUCCAUUGGUGCGUGUAUUGCGCUUAGUGGAUGGUGAGAAGAAGCCUGCUAUGGGAUACAUAUAUGAGGCCAUGGAUAGGGCCAAAGAAGCGAUUGCUAACUCUUUUAAUGGGGAUGAAAAGAAGUAUGCACCCAUUUUUCAGAUUAUUGAUAAUCGAUGGGAUGUUCAGCUUCAUCGCCCCUUGCACGCAGCUGGUUGGUACUUGAACCCAGAAUAUUUCUACAAGGCUGAACGUAUAGAUCCAGAGAUCAUGACUGGCUUAUAUGAAUGCAUUAGAAAGUUAAAUCCAGAUAUAAAGGUUCAAGACCAAAUUGAUGCUGAGCUUUCGAUGUAUAACAAUGCAGAUGGGUUCUUUGGAAACUAUAUGGCUAUUAGAAAGAGAGCUGAGAAAUCACCAGGUACACAUAUAUAUAUUACAUUAUAUAUAUAAUCAUUCUAGAUAAUAGAUAAUAACUAACCCAUGAAUUUUAUUGGACAACUGAAUGGUGGGCUUCAUAUGGAAUGUCAACACCCACGUUGCAAAAAUUUGCAAUUAAAAUUCUUAGCUUGACUUGUAGUUCAUCUGGGUGUGAACGUAAUUGGAGUGUGUUUGAAAAUCUUCAUACUAAACGGAGAAACAGGCUUGAUCAACUUCGUUUAAACGACUUGGUGUUUGUGAAAUACAAUAGAGCAUUGAGGCGUCGAUAUCAAAUGCGUGAUACCAUUGACCCUAUCAUAUUGACCGACAUUGAUGAAAGCAAUGAAUGGUUGACUGGAAAACUUGAUGAGGAGAAUGAUAAAGAUGAUGAAACUGUUUUUCCAGAUGACAUUGGGGAUGGGUUGACAUGGAGUAAUGUUGCUGCGGCUGCAGGAGUUGGAGAGCCUAGUUAUCAAUUUAGAACUAAACAAACUCGAUCACAAUUGGGAUCAACUUCGGUUUCGACUUCAAAGCGGUGAGUAACUCAAGAGAUUGAAGAGGAGGAAAGUGAGGCAGGGACCGAAGAUGAUGAAGACUUGGAAGAGGGAGAAGAAUUGAGAGAUGAAGAAGAAGAUGAAGGGGUGAUUGAAGGGGAUGAUGAAGAUAUUGACCUUGAUGUUGAUGAUCUCCUUGAUGAUGAUUGAUUAAAAAACUUUUUUAUAUUGAUUGUGGACUUGUAGUGUUUAUGUGUUUGUUUAGAACUUUGCAUUAUAAUUGGUACUUGGUAAAGUUUAAGACUUUAAGUUUGAACUUUGAUGAUGUUUCUAGUUUAGAAUUUGCAUGAUGAAUGAAUUAACUUUGAUGUUGUUAGUUUAUAGAAUUUGAAGAUAAUGAAUCAUGAAUGAUAUGAAUGUGUUAUUAUUGAUAAUUUGAUAGUUGCUUAUGAUUUUACAAGAUUUUGAGUUUUUUUCCUAAAAGGUGCGCUUCGCUUCGCAAAGGCGCGCCUCGCCUCGUGCGCCUCGCGCCUCAGGCUCCAGGACCUUUUGCGCCUCGCGCCUUUCAGAACUAUGGUCUACCAGCAGUGAUAAUUUGGAUUGGGCUAUGCUUAUUGUUCUGAGAAAAGGGGUAAGAUUUUAUGUCAAGUAUCCUAUGUCUAAUCACCUGACUUAUGCUAAGUUAUCCCCUCAGUACAAGGGAUUUGUUGCAAGUAUUGAUAGCAUUGUCGUUCCAAGGAAUAUUCAAGAGGCUAUGAGUGAUCCUAAGUGGAAAGUUGCUGCUAUGGAGGAGAUGAGUGCCUUGGUGAAAAAUAACACAUGGGAGAUUGUUAAAUUACCUUCAAACAAAAGGGUGGUUGGUUGUAGAUGGGUUUUCACAGUAAAGCAUAAUGCAGAUGGAAGUGUUGAAAGGUACAAGGCAAGAUUGGUUGCACAAGGGUUUACUCAAACAUAUGGGAUUGACUAUGAGGAGACUUUUGCUCCCUGUGGCCAAAGUCAACUCAAUUCGGGUAUUAAUUUCUCUUACUGUUAAUCUUGAUUGGCCUCUACUUCAAUUUGAUAUUACAAAUGCUUUUUUGAAUGGUGACUCGGAUGAGGAGAUAUAUAAUGAGAAUACCCCCAGGAUUUGAACAGGAAAUUGGCAGUGGCAAUGUGUGCAAGUUAAAGAAAUCCCUAUAUGGAUUAAAGCAAUCUCCAAGGGCUUGGUUUAAGAAAUUUAACAUGACUCUCAAUCGUUUGAGAUAUAAACAAGGGCAAGUUGACCAUACCCUGUUUAUAAAGUCGUAGAAGGUAAAAUGGCCAUAUUAAUUGUUUAUGUUGAUGACAUUAUUGUGACAGAUGAUGACUUACAGGAAAUUGAAAAUUUAAAGAAGCAAUUAAAAACUGAAUUUGAAGUGAAAGACCUAGGAGUCAUGAGAUACUUCUUGGGAAUGGAGGUGGGUCGGAGUGAAGAAGGGCUAUUCAUCUCUCAAUGGAAGUACACACUUGAUUUGUUAAAGGAAACUGAGAUGUUAGCAUGCAGACCGACUAGUACUCCUCUAGAAAAGGGUUGGAAUGUUGAAGAAAAAGAAGACACUCCUGUUGAAAAAGAAAGGUACCAAAGGUUGGUUGGUAGACUAAUUUAUUUGUCACUUACAAGGCCAGACAUAGCCUAUGCAGUAAGUGUCAUAAGUCAAUACGUGCAUGCUCCUACUCAAAAACAUAUGAAUGUAGUGUUUCAUGUUCUAAGAUACCUCAAAAACAUAUGAAUGCAGUGUUUCAUGUUCUAAGAUACCUCAAGGGAACGGCUGGGAAAUGGCUGAUGUUCCGAAAAACUAAUGAAAGAAGAAUUGAAUGUUUUGUGGAUGUUGAUUGGGUUAGUUCACGUGAGGAUAAUAGGUUAACUUUAGGUUAUUGCACCAAGUUAUAGGGUAAUGUGGUUACUUGGAGGAGCAAAAAAGCAAUCUGUAGUGGCUUGAAGUAGUGCCAAGGCUGAAUUUCGUGCUAUUGCUCAAGGGAUAUGUGAAGUUAUUUGGCUGGAAAGGAUGAUGGAAGACUUGGGGAUAUUCUUAUCUCAACCAACAAAAGUUUAUAGUGAUAGCAAAUUUGCUAUCAGUAUUGUGAAGAAUUCGGUUCAGCAUGAUCGUAUGAAACGUGUAAGAAUUGAUAUGAGUUUUAUAAAGAGGGAAAUUGAAGAAAGAUGAAUCAGCUUAUCCUACAUUCCAACUACUAAUCAAGUGGCUGAUAUUUUCACAAAAACUGUUGCAAGGUCAGGGUUUGAGUUACUAAUUGGCAAGGUGGGAAUGACUUGUAUCUAUUCCUCAACUUGAGGGGGGGAGUGUUGCGAGCUGAUGGAAGGCCGAGCUGUCGAGCUGAUGGAGGGCCGAGCUAAUGGCUGAGUUGCUGAGCUACUAAGCUCGUCAUCGGCUGAUUUAUCCUCUGUGAUUUAUCUUGAUUUAUAUUACUGUUAUAUCUCAUCUUUCCUUUUUAUUAGAUUUGUUUGUAUUUAAGGUUGUUGUAAUCUAGUCUUACAAAGUAGGAAUCUAAUAUUUAAAAUUUAGGAGAAUUCUUAGAUCUGCUGUGUAUAUAUCUGUGGCAUUCUCAAGGGAAUAAUUGACAGAGUAUUGUUCUUCCAAAAGAAGAUUUGAUCAGCAUCUAUGUCCCGGAAAGUAUGUAUCUCCACACCUAUGACAUAGGUUCGUUUGGCGUCUCUGUUCCAUUAAACCUCCUCCAUUUGUCGGAUUGGGGGCUGUAGGUGGUAAUGCUAGGACCCCCUUUCCAUUAUGCCCCAUCUCUCUUCCUAAAGUCCUAUUACUCGACUGCCACCCUCCUGAAAUCACUCAUUUCACUUGGCUACGUUGCUUUUUUAGUAGAGCCUCGAUCGUCAUUUCUUGCAACCUCGCACUCUCCACUGCUUGUCUCAUUGUCGUUGGUUGCAUCAUCUUCACCAUGGGCCUCACCUCAUCUCUGAGACCACUAAUAAAACUCGAUGCAAAAUACUCUUCCGACAAAAGGGGAUUGUGUACCAACAUUAUAGACCUCAGCUCUUCAAAUUUGAGCUGAUAGGUUUGCACCAAUCCCAGUUGUUUGAGCUUGUUGAAUUCUUCAAUUAUAUCCCACAUACUCCUAUCACCAAACCUUUCACAUAAGUCGUCAACGAACUCAUUCCAUGGGCUGCCUUCUUUCACUGUGACCCGUCCCUGAAACCACGCGUCACCCAUAUCGUUAAGGUAAGCAGAGGCCAGGAUGACCUUUUGCUAUUCCUGUACCUGAUACAGAGUGAACAUACACUCACACCUCAUUAUUCACCAUCUUGGAUUUUCCCCAUCGAAGAGUGGAAUCUCUAGUUUGGGUAUCGGAAAGCUCGACUGGUAACAAUUAGCUUGAGCUUCUGAUCUUCUCUCCCUUAUAUUAUCUCCAGUUCCCUCCGCCUCAAAUUCAAAUUCCGACGUUCCUAAUGGUCAGCACUCCGUUCCUACUCUUUGAAGAAUAGGUUUCGACCGCUCCCUCUGCGGAAAGUUGGGCGAAAGUCUUAUCGGCUGCUAGGAUGCGAACAUCCGCAUGAUCUGGUGCAUCUGUUCCAUCACCUGCUCGCGAAAUAGAGCAUUAUGUUCUCAAUUCUCACCCUGCCACCUUUCUAUGGCCUGAUUAAUCCGAGCAUCCACCCUUGCUCCAAUCAAGGAUUCAAGAGUUCCCAUUCUUGUUUGCAUCUCCGUCAUUGCUGUAGCCACUUGCUGCAGCUGGGACUCCAUCUAUUUUAUCCUCGUUCCUUCGGCCAUAUGGAUAACCUCUUCCUAUUCUGCUGACGCCCAAGAACACCACUUUGAUACCAAGUGUCAGCUCUUGAGAAUCUGACUGGUUUACUCGAUCAAUAAGACGAUCGAGAAUGGUGAUCGAGAAGAAGAAAGAGAGAGAAAGAGGGAGAGAGAAUAUGAGAGAGAUGAGACAAGAGAGAGAGAAUGGAAACUUCUGAGAAUAUUUAUUAAUCAUUGGAGAAAUGAUCUGCUCAUAUAUAUAGCUGAUCCUACCUGUCCCAUGUGCGGUAACAGAAUACCGUUGUUGGGAAUGCACUAGCUCCCUAAUGCAGCAACAAACAAUUCACAACUCCUUAAAGCAUAUUUUCUAAUAUACUACUUACUACCCUUAGUAUAGCCCAAUUACACUAGCACCCUAUCCUUAUCUCGCGACACAUGACAAGUUUGUAAAUAGAGAACCCUUUGUACACAAAGGGAAGCCAUUUUUAUUCUAACACACAUAAUGAGAAAAAAAAAAAAAAAGACAACUAAAAAAAGAGAA